UGUAUUCGGGUCUGUGGUUGAAAGCCGAUGCCAGACGCGGGCAAAGCGGUCCACGUAAACCGGACAAAGCUCCGGCGAGCAUGGCGCGUUCUAGUCGUAAGUCCGACCGUUCCUUACGGGGCGAGAGAGGGCGCGUAGGGCGCUUACGCGAUGAGCAGACCCUCCUGUCGGCGAAUGUGGGGUCAAAGACCAGGUCAGCCGGAUGCA
rnacentral:ncRNA from 12 species